rnacentral:rRNA from 1 species
GGAGUUAAAGAGCUUGCUCUUUAAUUUAGUGGCGAACGGGUGAGUAAUAUAUCGGAACAUGUCCGGAAGUGGGGGAUAACGAAUCGAAAGAUUCGCUAAUACCGCAUAUGCCCUGAGGGGGAAAGGGGGGGAUCGCAAGACCUCUUGCUUUCGGAGUGGCCGAUAUCGGAUUAGCUAGAUGGUGAGGUAAAGGCUCACCAUGGCGACGAUCCGUAGCUGGUCUGAGAGGAUGAUCAGCCACACUGGAACUGAGACACGGUCCAGACUCCUACGGGAGGCAGCAGUGGGGAAUUUUGGACAAUGGGCGAAAGCCUGAUCCAGCCAUGCCGCGUGAGUGAAGAAGGCCUUCGGGUUGUAAAGCUCUUUCAGCCGGAAAGAAAAGGUUCCAGAUAAUACCUGGAGCUGAUGACGGUACCGGAAGA